rnacentral:tRNA from 1 species
GGCUUUGUAGUUGAGUAGGAAAGCACUUGGCUUCCGAACAGAUGGCCACGGGUUCAAAUCUCGGUAAAGACU